GUCUUAUUUUUGAGGAAACAUGGUACUAAAAUUGAACAAUACAGAGAAGAUUAUCAUGGCCUCUGAGCAAGGAUGACAUGCAAAUUCAUGAAGCAUUCCAUAUUUUU
ensembl:snRNA U6 U6 spliceosomal RNA